UGGCCGGAAAUAAGAAUGAUACUCUUAGCUAGUAGUAUACUACCCGGCGAGAUCCUUAAG
rnacentral:tRNA from 1 species